GGUAAUAUUGAGCUAGAUGGACAAAAUAUCUGACUCAGCUACUUCCUAUGUUCGUCCAUUCAAAGAUAACUGAAGUCCUUUAUCAGGAGAAUUUGGGUGAAUGAGCAUAGUGCCUAUACAGUAAUUACCUGAUGUGAUGAGAGAAAAUAAUCCGUGAUACCAACAGCCAGAACAGCUAAAAGUCAUCCUGGCCAUAUGGAUCAAUUUUACCUGGAUUUUUUCUGUCAUAUUUUAAAUCUGUUACCUCUAUUAAUGUGGCCAAGUUUUGUUUUGUUGCAUCCAAACUUCGUAGAGCUUGU